rnacentral:rRNA from 1 species
GAUGAACGCUGGCGGCGUGCCUAAUACAUGCAAGUCGAGCGAACAGACGAGGAGCUUGCUCCUCUGACGUUAGCGGCGGACGGGUGAGUAACACGUGGAUAACCUACCUAUAAGACUGGGAUAACUUCGGGAAACCGGAGCUAAUACCGGAUAAUAUAUUGAACCGCAUGGUUCAAUAGUGAAAGACGGUUUUGCUGUCACUUAUAGAUGGAUCCGCGCCGCAUUAGCUAGUUGGUAAGGUAACGGCUUACCAAGGCAACGAUGCGUAGCCGACCUGGGAGGGUGAUCGGCCACACUGGAACUGAGACACGGUCCAGACUCCUACGGGAGGCAGCAGUAGGGAAUCUUCCGCAAUGGGCGAAAGCUUGGCGGAGCAACGCCGCGUGAGUGAUGAAGGUCUUCGGAUCGUAAAACUCUAUUAUUAGGGAAGAACAAAUGUGUAAGUAACUAUGCACGUCUUGACGGUACCUAAUCAGAAAGCCACGGCUAACUACGUG